rnacentral:lncRNA from 1 species
UCCCGAACAGAGCCUUCCCUCCCCUGUCUCAAUUCUUUCCAUGAAUCCACCGGAAGAGGAAACAAAAAAAAAAAGAGAGGGAGACGGGAUCAAAUCCUACCUAAUUUGCAUCAAUCUCCAUCUAUAAAAGAAUCUAUUCCUCUCCUCCUAGGGCAUCAAGCGAGAGCUCUUUAAAAAAAAAAAAGAGAAAAAAAAAGGAGAUCCGUGAGAAGCUUGGGUUGUUCGCCGUCGGGCUUGCCGGAGGAGCUCGCCGGAGGUGAGGUGAGGUCCCUCUCCUUCCUCUCUCUUGGCCGUGGGCCACUAUUCCUUGGGAAUCCAGCCGGCAAGCCGCCGGAUCGAUGUGAACCAAACUCCCUUGUUUCGGUUUGCUUUUUUUUUUUCUCUCUUCUGUUCCGGCCGGCCAUCGCCGGCCGUGGCGCACUGCCGGCACCGCCAUGGGCUGGCGACCAUGGGGCGUCGCCGGCCGUGGGCCUUCAGCUGCCGGGCACCUUCCCCCUUUCCAUCGGGAAGAAGGAAGAAGAGAGAGAGAAAGGGAGUUUAUUUGGGUUUUCUUUUUCCUUUCCCUUUUCUCUUAUUAUACUUUUUCUUCUCCCUCUAGUUGGGGGUUCUCCCUCUAAACUUGGAUCCGGAGAGAUUAUUGUUUUGAAGGUUCUGGGUUGUUGUAUAUUUUGGGUAAAUUUUUAAUAUUGACUUGGUUCUGUAGGGGAACAAUCUGUUGGACAAGAGGACGGUGAGCAGGAUUCUGUGCAUACCGGUUCUUUAUCGCCAUGAGGGCGGAUGAUUGGUUGUCUGAGUUUUCAACAAAAAUGUAAGAAUCCUUAUACGCCAAUCCUGCAUGAUAUAAAUAAUUUUACACCAUAUAUGUUUGAUAUGUUAUGAUUCAGACAAAGCAAAAAUAAAUUUAUAUUAAAUUAUAUUUUGAUUAUGUUGGUUUAUAAUUGGUACUAUGAUGGAUGUAUGUAUGUGCAUAACCUACAUCUGCAUAAAUGGAAUUAUAAAUGUGGUUCUUAUAGUAUGAUGGAAAUAAAUCGUAUUUUGAUUAUAUUUGUUGUAAUUGAUAGUGUGAUGGAUACAAUCCUGAGCAUAGCUUACAUUUACAUAAUUAGACUAAUGGAGAUGGUGGAUAGACUAACCAUGAUAUAUGAUUGCCCUGUCACGGGCCGGAAACGUGACCAUGGUUAGUCUAGGCCAAAAAUAAUGUGGAAAAGGGAAUUGAUGUGUGUUUGUGAAUUGAUUAAAUGAACAGGGACUUUGGGCUUAUCUCGUUAUUAUUGAUUGCCCCAUCACAGGCUGGAAAUGUGAUAUUAUCGAUUGCCCCGUCACAGGCUGGAAAUGUGAUACCAUUGAUUGCCUCGUCACAGGCCGGAAAUGUGAUACUAUCGAUUGCCCCGUCACGGGCCGGAAACGUGACCGGGAUGUAGCCCAAAGUCGGAAAAAUAAUUGAUCCAGNN